rnacentral:lncRNA from 1 species
GAGGCAGAAGUUGCGGGCACUUUGAAUUCAGGGCGCAUUUGUAUAGAAGUGAUUUUAUUUUGAUGCUUUCUCCCUCAUAAAUUAUCAUGUGUUAUAACAUGUCAUGGAGAUAUGCAUAUAUAACAUUAGACAGUCCACUUUAUAAAUGCUCAGGAUUGUUAACAUCCAUCAUCUCAGCAUAUCUUAAGAGUCUUUCUCAACAUCAAAGUGUUUUUAAGAACCUAUUCUCUUUACAUGUUGAUUUACCAAUGAAGAAAAUUUUUUAUUAAAUGCUAAAGAAGAGUAAACAGCCAGGAACUAAAUCCCACUGGGUCGUGAUGGAAAGAUUCUGAACAGAGACAAGGACAAUAAAGCAGCGUCUUCAUAACGUGCAUUACAUUUCGUGUUCGUGAAAAUCCACUUGCUGUUUAGAGCUCUCACAUUUCAUAAAGAUGUUUCUUGUUCUACUCAAGAUAUGUUCUCCUAAUUUACUGUAUUUAAAUGUGCAGAAGAAAUGGCAUUCUCCAUGAACUCAAAUGCAACAGUUACUACAGAAGACAGAAUGUUUUAUUUCACAAUUUACCAAUACAGCGUAUACAACCUCUGAUAAUGC